rnacentral:rRNA from 1 species
CCCUUAGAUGUUCUGGGCCGCACGCGCGCUACAAUGAUGAAUUCAACGAGUUUAUAACCUUGGUUGAAAAGCCUGGGUAAUCUUUUGAACUUUCGUCGUGAUGGGGCUAGACCCUUGCAAUUAUUGGUCUCCAACGAGGAAUUCCUAGUAAACGCAAGUCAUCAGCUUGCGUCGAUUACGUCCCUGCCCUUUGUACACACCGCCCGUCGCUCCUACCGAUUGGGUGUGCUGGUGAAAUGUUCGGAUCGGCCGUUUGUCGCGGUUUCCGCGGCUCGUGGCUGAGAAGUUCAUUAAACCCUCCCACCUAGAGGAAGGAGAAGUCGUAACA